AGCGAACGCUGGCGGUAUGCCUAACACAUGCAAGUCGAACGAGACCUUCGUGUCUAGUUGCUCACGCGUGCGUAACGCGUCGGAACCUGCCCUUAGGUUCCGAAUAAUUCCCUGUAAGGGGUGCUAAUACCGGAUAAUGUCCGCUGACCAAAGAUUUAUCCACUUUGUAUGGGCCCGCGUUGUUUGAGCUAGUUGGUAGGGUAAAAGCCUACCAAGGCGACGAUCCAUAGCUGGUCUGAGAGAAUGAUCAGCCACACUGGGACUGAGAAACGGCCCAGACUCCUACGGGAGGGAGCAGUGGGGAAUACUGGCAUAUGGGCGAAAGCAUGAUGCAGCACUGGCGGGUGAGUGAUUAAGGUGUUAGAGUUGUGAAGCUCUUUUAUACCGCGUGAUACUGACGGUACCGAGAGAAUAAGCACCGGCUAACUCCGUG
rnacentral:rRNA from 1 species